rnacentral:snRNA from 1 species
AUACUCUGGUUUCUCUUCAGAUCGUAUAAAUCUUUCGCCUUUUACUAAAGAUUUCCGUGGAGAGGAACAACUCUGAGUCUUAAGCUAAUUUUUUGAGGCCUUGCUUCGGUAAGGCU